rnacentral:rRNA from 1 species
AGAGUUUGAUCCUGGCUCAGGACGAACGCUGGCGGCGUGCUUAACACAUGCAAGUCGAACGGAAAGGCCUGCCACCUUGGUGGUGGGUACUCGAGUGGCGAACGGGUGAGUAACACGUGGGUGAUCUGCCCCGCACUGUGGGAUAAGCCUGGGAAACUGGGUCUAAUACCACAUACGACCAUGGCGUAGGGGUCAUGGUGGAAAGCUUUUGCGGUGUGGGAUGAGCCCGCGGCCUAUCAGCUUGUUGGUGGGGUAAUGGCCUACCAAGGCGGCGACGGGUAGCCGGCCUGAGAGGGUGGACGGCCACAUUGGGACUGAGACACGGCCCAGACUCCUACGGGAGGCAGCAGUGGGGAAUAUUGCACAAUGGGCGCAAGCCUGAUGCAGCGACGCCGCGUGGGGGAUGACGGCCUUCGGGUUGUAAACUCCUUUCGCCCGGGACGAAGCCCACCUGGUGGGUGACGGUACCGUGGAGAAGAAGCACCGGCUAACUACGUGCCAGCAGCCGCGGUAAUACGUAGGGUGCAAGCGUUGUCCGGAUUUACUGGGCGUAAAGAGCUCGUAGGUGGUGUGUCGCGUCGUCUGUGAAAUUCCGGGGCUUAACUCCGGGCGUGCAGGCGAUACGGGCACGACUAGAGUGCUGUAGGGGUAACUGGAAUUCCUGGUGUAGCGGUGAAAUGCGCAGAUAUCAGGAGGAACACCGAUGGCGAAGGCAGGUUACUGGGCAGUUACUGACGCUGAGGAGCGAAAGCAUGGGGAGCGAACAGGAUUAGAUACCCUGGUAGUCCAUGCUGUAAACGGUGGGCGCUAGGUGUGGGCUGUGUGUUUGCAGUCUGUGCCGUAGCUAACGCAUUAAGCGCCCCGCCUGGGGAGUACGGCCGCAAGGCUAAAACUCAAAGGAAUUGACGGGGGC